rnacentral:rRNA from 1 species
GAUGAACGCUGGCGGCGUGCCUAAUACAUGCAAGUCGAGCGAACAGACGAGGAGCUUGCUCCUCUGACGUUAGCGGCGGACGGGUGAGUAACACGUGGAUAACCUACCUAUAAGACUGGGAUAACUUCGGGAAACCGGAGCUAAUACCGGAUAAUAUAUUGAACCGCAUGGUUCAAUAGUGAAAGACGGUUUUGCUGUCACUUAUAGAUGGAUCCGCGCCGCAUUAGCUAGUUGGUAAGGUAACGGCUUACCAAGGCGACGAUGCGUAGCCGACCUGAGAGGGUGAUCGGCCACACUGGAACUGAGACACGGUCAAGACUCCUACGGGAGGCAGCAGUAGGGAAUCUUCUGCAAUGGGCGAAAGCCUGACGGAGCAACGCCGCGUGAGUGAUGAAGGUCUUCGGAUCGUAAAACUCUGUUAUUAGGGAAGAACAAAUGUGUAAGUAACUAUGCACGUCUUGACGGUACCUAAUCAGAAAGCCACGGCUAACUACGUG